rnacentral:tRNA from 1 species
GCGUCGGUGGUGUAAUGUCAUAGAGCAUUACCUGCUCGGUCAGCAGGAGGUGCGGGUUCGAGUCCCGCCUGGCGCU